rnacentral:rRNA from 1 species
GAGUUUGAUCAUGGCUCAGAUUGAACGCUGGCGGCAUGCCUUACACAUGCAAGUCGAACGGCAGCAUGAUCUAGCUUGCUAGAUCGAUGGCGAGUGGCGAACGGGUGAGUAAUACAUCGGAACGUGCCCUGUAGUGGGGGAUAACUAGUCGAAAGAUUAGCUAAUACCGCAUACGACCUGAGGGUGAAAGUGGGGGACCGCAAGGCCUCAUGCUAUAGGAGCGGCCGAUGUCUGAUUAGCUAGUUGGUGGGGUAAAGGCCCACCAAGGCGACGAUCAGUAGCUGGUCUGAGAGGACGAUCAGCCACACUGGGACUGAGACACGGCCCAGACUCCUACGGGAGGCAGCAGUGGGGAAUUUUGGACAAUGGGCGAAAGCCUGAUCCAGCAAUGCCGCGUGUGUGAAGAAGGCC